GAUGAACGCUGGCGGCGUGCUUAACACAUGCAAGUCGAACGGUGAAGCAGGAGCUUGCUCUUGUGGAUCAGUGGCGAACGGGUGAGUAACACGUGAGCAACCUGCCCCUGACUCUGGGAUAAGCGCUGGAAACGGCGUCUAAUACUGGAUAUGUGAUGUGACCGCAUGGUCUGCAUCUGGAAAGAAUUUCGGUUGGGGAUGGGCUCGCGGCCUAUCAGCUUGUUGGUGAGGUAAUGGCUCACCAAGGCGUCGACGGGUAGCCGGCCUGAGAGGGUGACCGGCCACACUGGGACUGAGAUACGGCCCAGACUCCUACGGGAGGCAGCAGUGGGGAAUAUUGCACAAUGGGCGCAAGCCUGAUGCAGCGGCGCCGCGUGAGGGAUGACGGCCUUCGGGUUGUAAACCUCUUUCAGCACCGACGAAGCGCAAGUGACGGUAGGUGCAGAAGAAGGACCGGCCAACUACGUGCCAGCCGCCGCGGUAA
rnacentral:rRNA from 1 species